CUGUUUUUUCCUGGAAACGCCUAAGUUGUUUGCCAAGCCCUUCGACCAGGCCCGUGGAGCUCCUGGGAGGCUCAGCACCCAGAUUUGAGCCCCUGGCUUUCCCGCUGUGGGUGGAGAGUGUGGAAGUGACCCCGGCUCUGUGCUCCCACACUGACCACACGUCAACUGGAAGACCCCUUUGGAAAGGAAAAGGAGCCCAACCAACGGUUCCCAGAGAGUGUGAACUUAGUGCAUGAAGCUAGCGCGUCCAGGGCUCCAGCAGGCGGACUGUCGUGGAUGCUGUGGUGAGCUGCCAAGAUCCUGCUUCAGGACAGGGGCUCUCGACUUCUCAGACUCGUGGAGUGUUGGCUAUGUCAUUCUGUUCUGGACAUUACCCUCAGCCUCAGGAAGCUUCUUUGGCCAAGCUUAAACACCCUCAACCUGGUUCAUUUUCCUCCUGGAUGAGCAGACUACUUCUCACUCUCCUGGCACUUCUCAGUUGCCCACACACUCCUGGGCUGUGAUCAAGCUCCAUGGCUUGCUGUUCCAAGAAUUUCUGAGCAAUAAACUGAAAACCAGAAGGAUUCCUGUGGCUUGUUCCUGCCCAGGUCUUGAAAAUACAGGAGGACCCUACUGGACCACUUUCUGUCAGAGGCGGCUGCGACCGGCGCACUAGGCACGGCGGAGAGGAGCUACCCCAUGUCCGAGGUCAGGGGCAGAAGCCGGGAGGACCCCACGCGCAAAGGGCAGCGGCCAAGAGGAGUUACCCCACGUCCGAGGUUGGGG
ensembl:lncRNA